rnacentral:rRNA from 1 species
CCUACGGGCGGCAGCAGUGGGGAAUAUUGGACAAUGGGGGCAACCCUGAUCCAGCCAUGCCGCGUGUGUGAAGAAGGCCCUCGGGUUGUAAAGCACUUUCAGUGAGGAAGAACGCCUGGUGGUUAAUACCCAUCAGGAAAGACAUCACUCACAGAAGAAGCACCGGCUAACUCCGUGCCAGCAGCCGCGGUAAUACGGAGGGUGCGAGCGUUAAUCGGAAUUACUGGGCGUAAAGCGCGCGUAGGUGGCUUGAUAAGCCGGUUGUGAAAGCCCCGGGCUCAACCUGGGAACGGCAUCCGGAACUGUCAAGCUAGAGUGCAGGAGAGGAAGGUAGAAUUCCCGGUGUAGCGGUGAAAUGCGUAGAGAUCGGGAGGAAUACCAGUGGCGAAGGCGGCCUUCUGGACUGACACUGACACUGAGGUGCGAAAGCGUGGGUAGCAAACAGGAUUAGAUACCCUAGUAAUC